rnacentral:rRNA from 1 species
AACGCUAGCUACAGGCUUAACACAUGCAAGUCGAGGGGCAGCAUGGUCUUAGCUUGCUAAGGCUGAUGGCGACCGGCGCACGGGUGAGUAACACGUAUCCAACCUGCCGUCUACUCUUGGCCAGCCUUCUGAAAGGAAGAUUAAUCCAGGAUGGGAUCAUGAGUUCACAUGUCCGCAUGAUUAAAGGUAUUUUCCGGUAGACGAUGGGGAUGCGUUCCAUUAGAUAGUAGGCGGGGUAACGGCCCACCUAGUCAACGAUGGAUAGGGGUUCUGAGAGGAAGGUCCCCCACAUUGGAACUGAGACACGGUCCAAACUCCUACGGGAGGCAGCAGUGAGGAAUAUUGGUCAAUGGGCGCAGGCCUGAACCAGCCAAGUAGCGUGAAGGAUGACUGCCCUAUGGGUUGUAAACUUCUUUUAUACGGGAAUAAAGUGAGCCACGUGUGGCUUUUUGUAUGUACCGUAUGAAUAAGGAUCGGCUAACUCCGUGCCAGCAGCCGCGGUAAUACGGAGGAUCCGAGCGUUAUCCGGAUUUAUUGGGUUUAAAGGGAGCGUAGGCGGGUUGUUAAGUCAGUUGUGAAAGUUUGCGGCUCAACCGUAAAAUUGCAGUUGAUACUGGCGACCUUGAGUGCAACAGAGGUAGGCGGAAUUCGUGGUGUAGCGGUGAAAUGCUUAGAUAUCACGAAGAACUCCGAUUG